GAGGCCGUGUAAAUACACCAGAGAUGGAGGAACUAGUAUGUAGCAUUGGAAGGUUUGAGUACGUGUGAGAGAUGGAAAUAAAAUAUGGAAAUAUUGAACAGAAGAGAAGGGUUUUGGUGCAAGGUAGUAUACUGCCUUUACUAUAGUACUGUGGGAGACACUGAGGACCUUUAUCAAACAUGGCAGGAAGUUUGGCACUGGAAAGCCAGUGAGAUUUACAGGGAAAUUGCAAGUAGGGAUUUGGCGGAAACGUGUUUGAAAGUACUUGUAUGUGGAGAAUUGAGGAAAGAUUUUAAAUGACUGGUAAUAUUUGAGCUUGUGGGUGAAUAGGAGAUUCCUGACUAGUGCAGGAACCCCCAAUACAAAAUGGGGGAUUGGUACAAGAAACUAACUAAUCAAUUCAAACUAACUAAUCAUUUGUUCUCCAUUUUAGGAUAAGACUGGGUGACGUAGCCACCAGCGGUGCGCCUCUCCGUGAAAGCGGGACCGAGUAAUUAACAUUUGCUUCCACCCUUUGAAAUUCUUACAGGUCGACACAUAAGGACUCCUGGUGAUUUGUGUAUUGGUGGGGAAUUGCAUGUAACGGGUGACCGUUUAGGUAAAUAUUGCACGUUUUUGUCCUAAGUGUGUUUCACAGGAUCACAAAACUGGACCUGACCCGGCUGAGGACAAAGAAACAUGCCUGGUUGAACCUGGAUCCUGGUGAAAAACAUAAUCGGAUGACAUUUUAUCCAAAUUUGGUCUGGACCACACAGGCUCACGAUUCCAUCAGCUGCUUCCAGUGACUGGAACUCCGGUGUGGUUCCGCAUUAAAUAGUUAGGAAAAUACAAGGGUGAGACCCAACAUGGGGCACAAUAAUCCCCGUCUACCCUUAUAGCCCCUGGGGGCUAUCUAUCUCUCCAUUCAGACACAUAUUUCCAGGACAAGAUGUGCACCAAUGCGGCAGGCGGCAGUUGAAUCUGGAUGAUGGCCUCACAAAAGACAUUUUUAAUGUUGUACAUUUUUGGUGUUCUGUUGUAAUGUUGUACUUUUUGUUUUGUUGUAAUGUUGUAUAGUAUAUAGUGAAAGGUAGCCACUGGGUCCAUAGCAAAUGGCACAAUAUUGGUGACAAAAGGAGGACUACUUUCUAACCAAACUACUCAAUGCCUAACAUUUCCUACUGCACUAAUCCAACUGACACCUCUACCACUAUCUCUAUUCUAAUCACUCCUGAUGUCACCAGUAAACACCUCUGCUCCAGCACUUGAUAGCUGGGUGUUAAACCCUAAUAACAAAUGCAGCUAAAAGGCAACAAAUGUGACCCAAUGGCUAGAAUAGGGAAGGUAGUAUUUGUGUGUAUUGUCACAUUGUAAGUAGAGGUGCCUGUACCUGGUAAUAGGCCUUGUACACAACGCUUGUAGAACUCUUUCUUUUGUUUUCUUUCACUCUUACAUUAUUCAGCCGGCCUUACUCUUAUUAGUGGGUUCUCAUAUAUCAUGCUUACUACACUUUUAGAAUAUUGGUCAACCUCUCUUACUGUCUGCCCAGUGCUGGCCAGCAGCAGAUGGGUUUCCCCUUUGUGAGCCGGGUUCUGCUCAAGGUUUCUUCAUAUUAAAAUCUGGAAGUUUUUCCGUGCCACGAUUGCCAUAGGUGUGCCACAAGGGGAUUUUAGGCCUGGGUUCUAUAUGUAAGAGGUGUAACUGACCAAUUGACAAUACUGUUCUGAUUUCCUGUAAGCCAACCAAGUUGACCUCACCAUAUGCUUUAUGUUGGGUCAAAAAGGAGGGGCUGUUGGGAAACAGACAGUUUUGUGUAUUCUAAGUCCCGGAGGAAGGGCCACCCCCAUGACCAUAUAUGGGCCUCCAUUCCUGUGGGUUUCGAGGUUUCCCCUCUUGGGAAUUUCCACUGCCCCCCCCACCCCCCAUGACCAUUAUGGAUUUGAAUGGUCCAAUCAGAAGGAAGCAUGGCCCCUUAUCACCAAUCAGAGUCAGUGCUCCCUUUCAACAAUAGAAUUCCACUAUAUGUAAAUACCAAUCUACUGGAAACUGUAUAAAUCUAAUCACCCACCAAAACUAUUUUGAACUUUCUCUCUGAGUUGUUCCCGUAGCCGGCUGCGUAAUAAAUCUUCCUGUUUUUACUACAAA